CAAUAGCGUAUAUUAAAGUUGUUGCAGUUAAAAAGCUCGUAGUUGAAUUUCUGUCAGGAGUGACCGGGCCUUUGGAUGAACUUCCAUUGCUUUUUGCUCUGUUUGUCAUCUCUAGACAUCCUGAAAUAUUUUUUAAAAAUAUUUCUCUUUUACUGUUAGCAAAAUAGAGUGUUCCAAGCAAAGCGUAGUUUUGAAUACAUUAGAAUGGAAUAAUAAGAUAGGACUUUGGUGCUAUUUUGUUGGUUUGCACACCAAGGUAAUGAUUAAUAGGGACAGUUGGGGGUAUUCGUAUUUAAUUGUCAGAGGUGAAAUUCUUGGAUUUAUGAAAGACGAACUACUGCGAAAGCAUUUACCAAGGAUGUUUUCAUUAA
rnacentral:rRNA from 1 species